UACGGAGGGGGCUAGCGUUGUUCGGAAUUACUGGGCGUAAAGCGCACGUAGGCGGACUUGUUAGUCAGGGGUGAAAUCCCGGGGCUCAACCUCGGAAGUGCCUUUGAUACUGCGAGUCUAGAGUCCCGGAGAGGUAGGUGGAAUUCCAGGUGUAGAGGUGAAAUUCGUAGAUAUCUGGAAGAACACCGGUGGCGAAGGCGGCCCUCUGGUCCGGGACUGACGCUGAGAUGAGAAAGCGUGGGGAGCAAACAGG
rnacentral:rRNA from 1 species